AGUUCACGGAACACCAAUGUUCCGCGGAACGACGAUUGAGAACCACUGCACUAUAGUCUCUUUAUUAUAUUAUAAGCUCUUCGACCUUGAGCUAUUAUUAAUUCGGCGGCCGAAUUAUAACUAUAGAUAUCUUUGUUAUGCAUUUUACUUUUUAACAUCUACUCGAUGAUUAUAUUAAUCCGUUAACAGUGUAUGAGUGAAAUUAUUAACAGUGUAUAUUUUUCGGGGAUGCCAAAAAGGUAUCGUGCACCAGGCACCAAAAAGAUAUCAUGCCCUGGGUGCCAGUAAUGCUCGCUACACCACAGUUGUGUGAAGCCACAUCUGAAGGUAUGAAAGAGCUGCAUGAGGAUCACAAGCAGCAAUUUGGCCACAGUGAAUCAUAAUCUAUAUGAAUGAAUAGCAUUCAAAGUAAAAAUCUUGCCUUCCAUUAGAUUGUGUGCUUAGUGGGAUUGUGUUAGUGUGUGAUCCAUCAUAUAUAUUCCAAACAAAAAUCCAAUAUCUUUUUGAUUUCAUCAUUAGAAAUAUUCCUAUAUGUGUGUGUUUGAUGAUGGUAGUGGUGCCUUUACUCAUUUUCAGUUGUUUUCGUAUUUUGGGACUUCAAUGUAGUAAUCUUCAUGGUUCUGUGUCUUUCCAACAUAGGAUGUGUUGUCUACUAUUGUGUAGUAACCAUUUUGGCUUUAAAGUUCUACAAGCUUUCUUCAAUGUAUAUUAUCAUGUAUUUUUCAUCUAAUUCUUGUUUUAUCUUUGCUAUCAAGUGGAUAGCUUUUUUAUUUACUUUGUUUGUUAAAGUUAGUGCAGAUGCUCUGGAAUCCUGGAUGGUGAUAAUUAUUAUUUUACUUUUCCCUAGUGAUCAGCCCCAUUAUGGCAAUACUAUCUUAUGACUGGACUCUUAUUUGCCCUCAUCUUUCCUAGAUCUUUAUCACUUAAAUCCCCUUAAUCUCCUAUAUUUGGAGUUAUACUUCUUGAAUAUGCCAUUCUAUUUCCUUUUGGUUUACUAUCCAUAAAUUAAUAUUUUUGUAUGAAUUUAAUAAUUGUUUGUCAAAUACCAUAGCAAUAAAAUCAAAAAUAUUACAGUACAAUACUGAAUACAAGUAGCCCUCAGUUUAUGCCAGCUCAAUUUACACAGAUUUACAAUAAUGCUAAUGCCCAACUUGCCGUUUCAACAUGUAAUUC
rnacentral:lncRNA from 1 species